rnacentral:lncRNA from 1 species
GAAAAUACUAAAAUUGUUGAUGCUUAUCUGAGGGGUCAUAAUAAAAGGAUGCAUUUCAGACGGUGUCACAUUACAAACACCACCGCUCACCAAGGCCUUCAGCUGUCAUGGAUUUCCGUGCUGGUAAGAGUCUGCCUCAAGUCUUUGCGCGUAAAGGUUGCGCAACAAUUUAUGUAAGACUCCAGAUCGCGUCUGCGUGUGUGCGUGUGUGUAGAACUCACGCGUCUCUCUCCACUCCGUGUCCUUCCGUCUCGCGCCACUGAUGCAGCCGUCGUCGUCCACCUGUGGCUGCUCGCUGCUCAGGCGUCCUGCGGAGUUCUCCCGAAGGACGACAGCGAGGCUCUGGUCCAAACCGCUCAUCUGCUGAGGAAGAACCUGCAGCCGGUGCUGAAAAGCCUGGCUCUCUUCAACGCGUCUUCGUGCCGGCACCUGAACGGCACCGAGCCGGCGGAGGGGCCCCUCGCCGGCGCGCACCUCUCCGCCUUCAGCUGCCACAUCUUCAAGCUUUCGAACCACACGCCGAACAUGCAGUCUGAUCUGAGCGCCAUCAGCCAGAUGCUGGACGCCAUGGUGGAUCUGAUGCCCGGUUCGGCCCCUGCAAACUGCAGCCUGCCCGACCUGAAGGGGCACUCUGACCUCUUCCAGUACGCGCGGUGUCUGCUGCAGCGCCUGGACCACAGGCUCCGCGACGCGACGUUUGGCGUGGGCAGGCGCGAGCGCCGCUAGCAGCCGAGGGCCCCGUGAAAACUGAGAUGGGGCCCCGCAAUUGAAUAUACUGACCACUACUGAUUUUUCUAGCAUGUCGGUGCAGAUGGUUAGGGUGUGAUGCUGGUAAUAUCAAGGUUGUGAGUUUGAAUCUAGCCGCAGGAUUACUUAUUUAGUUGUUUGAUUAAUUUUAAUUUAUUUAAUUUAAUUUUAUUUCAUUUUUAAUAGUGACAAAUUUUCGCUAUUGAAUUAAAGUGUGACGCCUUAAAGGUGAGGAGGGAAAGUGUUCAAAGAUUGAUUCUGUAAAACUGUCAGAGUGAGACCUCCGCACUUGGAUCUUGGGAAUUUCGAGUUCUACAGAUAAUUGUCCCGCAAAGGGACAAUAAAGGUUUUCUUUUAGAUGCA